GUAGGGUACAAGCGUUGUCCGGAAUUAUUGGGCGUAAAGAGCUCGUAGGUGGUCUGUCACGUCUGCUGUGGAAACGCAAGGCUCAACCUUGCGCGUGCAGUGGGUACGGGCGGACUAGAGUGCAGUAGGGGAGUCUGGAAUUCCUGGUGUAGCGGUGAAAUGCGCAGAUAUCAGGAGGAACACCGGUGGCGAAGGCGGGACUCUGGGCUGUAACUGACGCUGAGGAGCGAAAGCAUGGGGAGCGAACAGGAUUAGAUACCCUGGUAGUCCAUGCCGUAAACGUUGGGCACUAGGUGUGGGGUCCAUUCCACGGAUUCCGCGCCGUAGCUAACGCAUUAAGUGCCCCGCCUGGGGAGUACGGCCGCAAGGCUA
rnacentral:rRNA from 1 species